rnacentral:rRNA from 1 species
CUACGGGAGGCAGCAGUGGGGAAUCUUGCGCAAUGGGGGAAACCCUGACGCAGCAACGCCGCGUGGGUGAUGAAGGCCUUCGGGUCGUAAAGCCCUGUCAGGUGGGAAGAAACAUGUCGGUGCUAAUAUCACCGAUGUUUGACGGUACCGCCGGAGGAAGCACCGGCUAACUCCGUGCCAGCAGCCGCGGUAAUACGGAGGGUGCAAGCGUUGUUCGGAAUUACUGGGCGUAAAGCGCGUGUAGGCGGUCGGGCAAGUCAGAUGUGAAAGCCUUCCGCUCAACGGAAGAAGUGCAUUUGAAACUGCUCGGCUAGAGUACGGGAGAGGAGAGUGGAAUUCCCGGUGUAGAGGUGAAAUUCGUAGAUAUCGGGAGGAACACCAGUGGCGAAGGCGGCUCUCUGGUCCGAUACUGACACUGAGACGCGAAAGCGUGGGGAGCAAACAGGAUUAGAUACCCCGGUAGUCCUAGCCGUAAACGGUGGGCACUAGGUGUGGGAGGCAUCGACCCCUCCCGUGCCGCAGCUAACGCAUUAAGUGCCCCGCCUGGGGAGUACGGCCGCAAGGUUGAAACUCAAAGGAAUUGACGG